rnacentral:rRNA from 1 species
UACGUAGGUGGCGAGCGUUGUCCGGAUUUACUGGGCGUAAAGAGCGCGCAGGCGGUCGUGCAAGUCGCGUGUGAAAGCCCCCCGGCUCAACUGGGGAGGGUCACGCGAUACUGUUCGACUCGAAGGCAGGAGAGGGAAGUGGAAUUCCCGGUGUAGUGGUGAAAUGCGUAGAUAUCGGGAGGAACACCAGUGGCGAAGGCGACUUCCUGGCCUGUUCUUGACGCUGAGGCGCGAAAGCUAGGGUAGCAAACGGG